GACUUUCGGUCCCUCUUGUGCUUGUUCUUAGGAGCCUUACUUGAAGUAGCCUCAGCCAUAUAAACUUGUUUGUAAGAUUUUGUCACCUCUAGGCAAUCAUCUUCUAACUCCAGAUGACACCUAAUGUCCUCAAAAGCUUUUACAGUUUCGUUGUGAAUUAUAUUGAUGGCCAUAUGCUCCCAGCUCUUAAGUAAGGAAUGGAUAACUGCUU
rnacentral:lncRNA from 1 species